UGAGGAGUAGCCCUGUGCCCUGUGGAGGUCCGGUGCUGAGUGACAGUGCGAGGUUGGCUCUGGCAAUGCUGUACAGAAAACUGUCCCUCAGCCUGAAGGCUGAGUUGCAAGUUCUAAAGAGAGCCUGGACUUCACUCAGCAUCCAAGGCUUCCGGUUUGGAAAAGCCCAAAUGGUUUUGGUCAUUCUCUGCAAGCACUUAAUAUAUAAAUAAACAGGCUAAGUGAAGCACUCCAGGUCCUGCUGUUCCAGUCUGCCAAUUCAAGAUGGAACAGCCCCUCGAGUCAAACGUGCUCAAGGAGAGCAUCAUCUGGCCAUAUUUUAAUGAUCCGGAUGGUUGGAGGGGUUUCCUGGGGUGUGGUAACAAUGGCUACCGUUUCUGAGUGCACUCUCUUUCCUGAUAUAACUGGAGCAGGUCCCCCAGCAGCAGGGGUGUGGCAGGGAAUUCUGGGUGUGUGGAAUAAAUGUGACCUCACUGCCAUCAAACUGUUCAUUAUAGGACUAAUCUGCAGAUGUCCUGCUGGUCACAUGAAUUUGGCCAGGAAAAUCCUUGCUUGGAUUACACAGUCUUUAUCCUUCACCUCAUUCUCAUGUUUGCCAUUCACAAGCAGCUGGGGCCAAAAUCAUCAUUGUAGGAAAUAUGACGAAGGAUGUCUCCUUCUCCCUGGGCAUGUGGAUCAUGGUGUAUGGAGUUGCCAAUCAGGCUCUGCUCCACCCUUACAACCCAAACCUGAAUCACUUUUUUGGAGAGUUUUCUACAGACCAUAUUUGCAAAUCUUUGGACAGGUCCCUGCGCCAGAGAUGGAUGGUACAAAUGUUUAUGCAAAUGGCAUAAAAAUGUUGUUGUUACAUUUUCAGAUCAGAUCUUC